AUUCAGAAGUGUGCUCUUUCUAUCUGUUUUAUUCUUUCUGGCCUCUGUUCUUCAAGUUUGCCUUUGUUGAUUUCAUGUAAUCUUCAAUUUACUUCUUGUAGGCUUCUUUUGUGAAGCUG